rnacentral:rRNA from 1 species
GAUGAACGCUGGCGGCGUGCCUAAUACAUGCAAGUCGAGCGAAGCGGGGGCGGGUGAGUAACACGUGGAUAACCUCCUAUACGUCCGGGAUAACUUCGGGCAACCGGAGCUAAACCAGACACUGAUAGAUGGAUCCGCGCUGUAUUAGCUAGUUGGUAAGGUAACGGCUUACCAAGGCAACGAUGCAUAGCCGACCUGAGAGGGUGAGCGGCCACACUGGAACGGAGACACGGUCCAGACUCCUACGGGAGGAAGCAGUGGGGAAUCGUCCGCAAUGGGCGAAAGCCUGACGGAGCAACGCCGCGUGGGGGAGGAAGGGCUGCGGAUCGUAAAACUCUGUUAUUAGGGAAGAGGUACGUAAUCAGAAAGCCACGGCUAACUACGUGCCAGCAGCCGCGGUAAUAC